UCCGUCAUGGUGUAGUGGCUAGCAUUUCAGACUCUCACUCUUCAUACGAAGAUGUGCGCUCUGAGAACCCGGGUUCAAUUCCCGGUGACGGAA